GCCCACGUAGCUCAAUAGGUAGAGCAUUUGCAUGGUAAGCAAAAGGUAACCAGUUCGAUUCUGGUCGUGGGCU
rnacentral:tRNA from 1 species